CGAACUCGCCAAACCCCGGGAUCCACUUGUUGCAGUCGGAGUCGCAAUGGUCACUUUUUCUGCAUUGAAGAUUCUAUUUAUCAUAUAUACAGUGAUAAGAAGAAUUUAUAAGCAAUAUCAUUAAGUACACUUGCAUACUGCUUCAAACACUUAUGAUGGUAAGCAGACGUUUAGAAUUCCGAUAAUAUUUUCCUAAGGAACGGAUAAAUCUACGAUUUUUCUAUAUUUUACGAUAAGAAAAAAGUCUAAAUUAAAGAGUAAUAAAAUUCGCUACAUAAAAUCGGAACCACAUCAUAGAAGAUUAAUGUAACAGCCAAGUGGCGAAUCCAUAAUAUGGAUUAAGCACGCAACUCUGAAACGUCGGUCAACUUCUAAAGACUUUUCCAUCGAAUGUCAAACACGGCUCAAAAAUAUCCGAUCUAAAAUCGGCUACGACAUUAAUUUUAAGCUUCAAAUGCAAAUGCCUUUUAAUUAGAAUACAAUGUUUUGUAGCUUCUAAACGUUUCGUUUAUAUUACUUUAAAAUUAACACUUUCAACCCGUCCGUAGUGCAAUUGGUUGCCCGGACAUAAGCAAUAGUCGUAGGAGCCAAGAGGUCACCUCAUCACCCACGCACAAUAAUCUGCUCUAUCUCUGUGAUCUCAAACUGUAUUACAGGACUACUCGUGAAUCACCACAUAAUUCGACACUGAGUACGAUAAGUUCACUUAUUUCCACCACCAAUAGUACAUUGUGCCGACUAUUCGGCUCUGAUGAUGUGACGGCGAAACUUCGAAAGGGGUGCGCAUGCGUGUGGUGAGGUUAGGCAGGUUUAGGAGAGGGGGGGAUGAUUUGGGCUGACCUCUUCUCUCCAGUACACGGACGAGACUCAGGCUGCUUCCACGGAUCGGGUCGGCAACGUCUCUCCGCCUGGGCACCCUCUUCGAGUUUCAGGGUACCAACGACCUAUAGAACUGAAAACCUCCUUCCCCUUUGGACUCUUGUUGAAAAGGGGAGAGUCGAUCAACAUUACCAAUACAUUUCACAUGAUCACAAGAACUACCCUCGCCAAUGCACGUACCAGCAGAAAAGAAUUUCAUCCACGAAGAAGACAACGCAGACAUCUCUUCCUGUUAUGACGAACCUAUAAUUGACAUCAAGGAAGACUUACUCUCAGAUAAUAAUGGCUACAUGUUGGGACAAGCAGUAAAAUGGGUCCUAAAUCGUACUCAAAUUCGAUCUACGGGGGCCCCGUCCGUCCUAGGGAACAUCGGCAACUCGUUGAGCCCAGGAGGCCUCCAACCCUGUAGUCGUACUUUUAGAAGAUCUUCUCUGAUAGUGAUGUUCACAUCCCCAUGUCGUCAGAUAACAAUGCUACAAUAUCUCGAGCUGAUUUGUCGUCGGCUGCACGUGGCCAUCAUGUAAUCGAGUAGGGUGCAGUCUUCGUCAGCAACUCACGACUGUGGUCUCAGCAGUGCACGAGAGAUCUCAUCUAGGUCGUCCCAGGUAUGGUGGAAGACCACUUCAAGCCACGAGCGCGUUAAUCACACCCGGAGUGAGCUAUAUUGGAACUCUUGUGCGCUUUUGGGAAAACAACAACGUGACGUUGUUAUGAAUCUGCAAGAAGCUUGCUUCUAAGCAAAACUAUCGCCAGCAUUGUUAGCAAAAACCAGAUUAUAACAAGAAUACGCUACUACAUAUAUACAAAAUUUGGACAUCGUUAAUCAAAAUUCCCACCCCUAGUACUAUUCGAGGACCAGCUAAAACUCAUGAGCCUACUCAACCCAAAGUCUUCACAAUUGAUUUUCAUAUUAUCCACUCAUCUUUGUCUCGAUGUUGAAAGUGAUAGCUUUCGAAAUAAUGCAUAUCCAAAAUAGUUAAGUUCGCGUCUCGUUUCUCCAACCCUGGCUACAUGACCAGCCCAUCGUAACCUGCUUAUUACUUACUGUCAACUAGAUGUCUGAAAUGUCGGUAAACUACCAGACGACACGGUGCCACAGCCGUGAGAACCCCAAAUCCUACUUAGUUCAUAAUUUAUCAGAUUCCUGCCUAUUUAUUUUUACAUCCCAUCUUUCUUAGUUCUAAUGUUUAACAGCAAUUUGUUUCACGAUUUAUUUUCCGUAAUACGUAAUAUAAUUACAGCAGAAAGCGAUAAAAAUUCUGACUGGAACAACAUUCAACACUACGACAAACUAAGCAAUAAGACAAAUAUUAACUAAAUUGUAUUUAAUUGUCUCAUUAUAAACAAAAAUACCUAAAUACAGUCAAAAUUACCAGCACAUUUGUUAAGACUCAAACUCUGUGCAUUAGGAAAGGAAGGUUUGUGAGCUCUGUCUGAAACAUCUAAUAAUAUAACAUAAACUAAUACAUGUUUCCUUUCUAAGCAUUACUUUUGUCGUUUGAAACAAAAAAGGUUCCAGUAACAGAUCACACCAUCAGAGUAUACUUAUAUUUAAUUAUAAUCCAAAGAUGGAUAGCUAUGUAAUUUUGCGAUUAAUCUUUUUAUAAAAACAAUAUGCCUCGAAGAAAAAGAAACAUGUAAAGGUAAAUUUAAUAAACUGUAUUUUCCAGCAUGCAGAGCUAUAUACUGUAUAGUUAUUGUGAGGAAAAUCUGUGGGAAUAAAAUGGUUAUACUACAUUCAA